CGGCGGCUAUAGCGCUGAGGCCACACCUGUUCCCAUCCCGAACACAGUAGUUAAGCUCAGCUGUGCCGAAAAUACUUGGCUGGAGACGGCCCGGAAACCUAGGUCGCUGCCG
rnacentral:rRNA from 1 species